rnacentral:rRNA from 1 species
AUUGAACGCUGGCGGCAUGCCUUACACAUGCAAGUCGAACGGCAGCACGGGUGCCUGCACCUGGUGGCGAGUGGCGAACAGGUGAGUAAUAUAUCGGAACGUACCUUAUUGUGGGGGGUAACGCAGCGAAAGCUGUGCUAAUACCGCAUAAUCCCUAAGGGGGAAAGCGGGGGACCGUAAGGCCUCGCGCAAUUAGAGCGGCUGAUACCUGAUUAGCUAGUUGGUGAGGUAAAGGCUCACCAAAGCAACGAUCAGUAGCUGGUCUGAGAGGACGAUCAGCCACACUGGGACUGAGACACGGCCCAGACUCCUACGGGAGGCAGCAGUGGGGAAUUUUGGACAAUGGGGGCAACCCUGAUCCAGCAAUGCCGCGUGAGUGAAGAAGGCCUUCGGGUUGUAAAGCUCUUUUGUCAGGGAAGAAACAGCAGCUCUAACACAGUUUGCGAAUGACGGUACCUGAAGAAUAAGCACCGGCUAACUACGUGCCAGCCGCCGCGGUAA